AUUUUUCUUUCUUAUAUCUUCAUUUUGGUAACUUUGAGACCUUGCAAGAACUUGAUUUGAUUUCCCUUCAUGUCUAAAAGGGUCUCUAAAAUCUAAAGUGUGAACACUUCUUUGAUUAGACUUUUUUAAUUUUUUCUGACCUUUCAUUUACUCUACGUAGAAAAUCAAAAGAUGAAGACUAGCGAGAUUUUUCUGACCACGUCACUUACUCAAGCAAGGGGUGUGUAUGGAAGCCCUCAUAAACAAGCCGGACAUGGGUACACACCGGCAUCGCCUUGAACAGACAACAUGUUGGUUUCCAGAUCCCAUCAAGCAAAGAACUUCGUGUUUCUUGUGAUCGUGAUAUAUAUGUAAUAUGUCAUAAUACUCUUGGUAUGUUCUAGGUGUAGCAGAAUUAUUUCAGUUCCUUGUAUUCCGCAAAUCAUCUUCCAGACAUUCUCAUGUGUAGACUUGUCUUGACGAUAGUGAAAUAGAAAGAGAUAAGUUUCACAGUUUAAUCUUGAAUAAUGUUCACUUGAGCAAAGACAUUUCAUCACAAUGUUGCGCCUUGAGAAGUGGGGCAAUUUCAUUGGUCCACUCGAGGAGACUCCUAUCUUGACAUCUAUUCAAGGGCAUAAUUGUUUAAAUUUUUUUAAAUAUAUUGUACACCAGUCGAUUAAGUUCUAAA